UGGGGAAUAUUGCACAAUGGAGGGAACUCUGAUGCAGCGACGCCGCGUGAGUGAUGAAGGAAUUCGUUUCGUAAAACUCUGUUCUAUGGGAAGAAAAGGACUGUACCAUAGGAGAAAGCUCCGGCUAAAUACGUGCCAGCAGCCGCGGUAAUACGUAUGGAGCGAGCGUUGUCCGGAAUUAUUGGGCGUAAAGGGUGCGCAGGCGGCUUUACAAGUUGGAUGUGAAAUAUUGUGGCUCAACCACAAACGUGCAUCCAAAACUGCAAAGCUUGAGUUAAGGAGAGGUAAGUGGAAUUCCUGGUGUAGCGGUGGAAUGCGUAGAUAUCAGGAGGAAUACCGGUGGCGAAGGCGUCUUACUGGACUUAAACUGACGCUCAGGCACGAAAGCGUGGGGAGCAAACAGG
rnacentral:rRNA from 1 species